GCUUGCGCCUCUGAGUAGGCUUCGUUUGAGCUUCAUUGUGAGAUGCAGCUUUGGCACGUCUCCCAACUUUGCGCUGUGUGUCAUGAUGCGACGCCACCAUCUGAGUUCCCGUCGCACCUUUGUGGAUUUUCAUCAACUGGAUAUCCAUCGAAGACUUGACUUGCAAAGGGUUUUACACUUAAAGGCAGAGUCCAAAUUUGCAUGCUUUCUUUGGGGUCAAGGAGAGGGCAAGGUACCAAAUCCGGAUUUAAUGCUCUAGCUAACUGUGGUUAAUGCCAGGCCUGAGGCUGCUGCACCAUAGACACCUAAAUGGGGAAAAUAAAGGUAAUAGAAAAACCCCAAUAGGAGAUGUGGAACAACCAACUUGGAAACAUUAAAAGUCCGCAUCGUCUUCCUGUAGAACUUUUGUAGUCACCGUACCAUGGGGUUACUGGAAAACCUACAUUGAUUGUAGGUCAUCCCAGAACUCAGAAAAGUCUGCUCAGGUGGUCUCUCUCACAUGAGUUUGGAGAGUCAGUCCACUAGGACAUGCAGAGUUAACUGAUCAGCUUCCUGUCUCCUAACUCCUUUAGGCCUGGUGUAGUGCUAAUCCCAGCACUCGGGAGCAGAGGCAAGUGGAUCUCUGUGAGUUCCAGGGCAGCCUGGUCUACAGAUCUAAUUCCAAACAGCCAGAGCUACACAGAGAAAACGUGUCCGGGGAAAAAAGAAAGAAACAUGGAAGAAUGUUCUCCAAAACAAGACUAUAUUAGCUCUGUACUGGUACCUAGGCUGCUGGAGAUGUUGCAGGCUAAGAAUAAAUUGUAUCUGAUUGUGCAGCUUUUGGUUACAUUACAUUGUAUGAACAUUGUUGCAUUGAAGCUUUCAGGUCAAUGAUUUUGUAAUAUUAGUAACAUUCUCUUUCCGUAACUGUCAGAUCCAAAGGAAACUCCAUUUCCCCACCUUCUGGGGGUUAGACAAAAGCCAGCAUUCCUCAGAAACUGGUGAAGCUGUUUCUCCUCUACUGAAGGAACCAUUUCCCAUACCACUGGCAGUGGUGCAAAUGGUUUUCUGAGUUGCCAAAGUACAUGCUGGCCUAAGGGCUCACUCAGCAUCACAAGUACCUGUUGUACAUUUUAGAGUCCAUACUGGCUCUCCCCCCCCCCCAACUUCCUGUACUCUGGAGCUUCCCUCUCCCCAGCUUCUCAUUCUCUUUAAACCCUGCUAUUUUAACUAUGUGUACUCUUGAUCCUCUUUUGGUCUUCCUCCCACCUUUCCAAACAAACCCCACCCCCACUCCCACCCACCUGCUUCUCUCCUCUGUCUCUCUCUACUCUGCCCCUGCUUCCUUUCUGGUUAGAUCCAGUCUUCUGGCCAUGUUUAGUCGACUACUUUUUCUCUCUUCUUUGGACUCUACCAGAUGACUCUGGCUGUUCUCUCCUUCAUAUCUACAAUAAAAACCUUCCCCUCAACCAUACAAUAGAAUGGUGAUGUGCUCAGUGUAUAUGGUAACCCUUUCAUGUUAACUCCAGGGUUAAGAAGAUCCCGAAGAACAAAGUGUUACACAUGCUUUCCACAUGCCAGGAGCAGAAAUACCGCAAUGGAGAAGUAGAUUAGACACAGGCAGAGAUAAAUAGACAUCAAAAGAACUAAUGAGGAAACAGGUAGUGUGGCCUUACAGGGGGAAAUUUCCUUUAGGAAGAAAAGAGAGCUUGGAUGGUUUGUUUGUGAUGUUUUGUUUGUUUUUCCAUAUGUGAAGGGCAAAUAAGGGUGAAAACAUUUGAAAGCUACACAGUAGUUGGUACUAAAGAUAGGAACAUAUGUCAUUUGUACUGAAUUUAGGUGUUGAGUUGUUUCUUUUCCUCUUUUGUUUUAAUAGUCACCUUUUCAAAUACUUCCAUCUAGUAAAACUACUGGCAGAUGAAGUUUUUAAAAUGGUUAAAAACAUUGAAGUGAAUUUGGAAAAUACAGAAAAGAUUAAAGAAGACAAACCAAAAGUUUUACGAGUGAGAGGGUCAUACAUAUUACACUUUUUGAUCCUGUUAUCAAGAUGCCUUUCCAACAUGAACUAGGAGUUUAUAUCACCUCUGGCGAUGAGGGCAUGUCAUAGCAAGGUUCACCUGUUGAAAAAAUGUCAUCUCAUACAAUGAGUAAAUAAGUGGUAAAGACUGCUGAGAGUUACUGUCAGGCAAGCCCAGUCUCCUGAAAGAAGCAGAGACCAGCAGAACUGCCCAGAAGAAACAAAGAUGAGCUAAAUCCCUGGAAAACCCUCAAGCCAACUAUGCUACCUGGAAACGAUACAUUUCAAUCUACUGAGCUUUGGGCAGAUGUCGUGGAAUAUGACUUUAACUAGGCAAAGAUGUGUUACAUGUGUUUAUGUUACAUUGAUUUAAUUAUGUAACGAUGUGUUGGUGUUUCACUUUGCCUGCCUAAGGCGCCUCAUUGGUCUAAUAAAAAGCUGAAUGCCAAUAGGUAGGCAGUAGAGGUAUAGACAGGGCUGGCUGACAGAGAGAAUAAGCAGGAGGAGAAAUUCUAGCCUGGGGAGAACAAGGGGACAAGGGAGAAAAAGAGGGAGAUGCCUGGGGCCAGUCAGGCAGCCAACAGUCAGCCAGAGAGUAGGACAUACAGAAUGAAAUAAGGGUAAAAAUCCCUGAGGCAAAAUGUAGAAAAAGAGAAACAAGUUAAAUUAAGUUAUAAGAGCUCGCUAGAAACAAGCAUAAGAUAAGGCCAAACAUUCAUAACUAAAUGAUAAGUCUCUAUGUCAUGAUUUGGGAACUGGUUGGUGGCCCAAAAGAAAGCCUGUUACAUAAAAGCAGGCAGCUGUAUAUUCUAGGUUUCCAGUUUUUGUGAGCUUUUACCCAUUCUGGGAUAGGCAUUAGUGAUACAACUGUCAUUUAGUCAUUUCUGCUCAUGUAAGUAACCGCUUACCCCUAAUCCUAUAAGUAACUCCAAUAAAAUUCACUUGUUU